GACUCCAUGACCCAAUGGAUAAGGUGUUGGUCUACGAAACUAGAGAUCUUCGGUUUGAUCCCCAGUGGAGUCA
rfam:Ipomoea nil DNA, scaffold: scaffold0268, cultivar: Tokyo-kokei standard.